UGUACUUCGGCCGACUACCGGCGCCGUCUCCCGUCACUCUUGUGGCAUUGUCCCGAUGGAUUGAACCUGUGGCUUGCGUGCUAGUACCCGACCUACGGGAAGUGGUGCUUCAUAUAAUUGUUGCCUCACGAUGGACGCCCUUUGGGUGUGCCAUUGUGACCGAAUAGCGCUUGCGGCGUUGCCUCGUACAACAUCCAUAUAUUGUGCAUGUUGAUAUCACGGCAACCUCGCUCUCGCUUUUGGUCUAGGAUGCUGCUCACGAUAAAGGCUCGAGGCCCUUCGGGUUGCCUCGAUCCGAAACAAUGUUCUCUCUCCGAAAUGGCGAUAACCGGGUACAUGUCUUGCCUCUACCUCUCCACAGUUACGUGGUAGGAUACGCAACCCUAUGAUCUGGCCCUCAGGGAGGAGGAGACAUGCUCUCUCCMAAAUGGCGAUAACCGGGUACAUGUCUUGCCUCUACCUCUCCACAGUUACGUGGUAGGAUACGCAACCCUAUGAUCCGGCCCUCAUGGAGGAUGAGACAUGCCCGCUCAAAAGCGACAACUGGCUCGGCUGUUGCAUUUGUCUUUCCACGCAAGUGGAAUUGCAGGGUAACUACCGA
rnacentral:misc_RNA from 1 species